UCUCCGUUGGUGAACCAGCGGAGGGAUCAUUACCGUGUUUACAACUCCCAAACCCCAUGUGAACCUUACCAAACGUUGCUUCGGCGGGAUGCCCCGGGCGCGGGCCGCAAGGCCUCAGCCCCGGAACCAGGCGCCCGCCGGAGGCCCAAACCAAACUCUUGUUUUUGUAGAAUCUUCUGAGUGGCCUUUUAGGCAAAAAAUGAAUCAAAACUUUCAACAACGGAUCUCUUGGUUCUG
rnacentral:misc_RNA from 1 species